GUGGGAGAGCACUCUACAAGUGCUCUUGGGCAUUAGAGUUGCCCAAGUGGAUCAGGAAUGUCUUGGAGCCUCUAUCUCUCUUGCACUUGAAUCAGCAGAAUUGCAGAAUCAGGCAGAGACUCUCAGGAAUUUAGGCCGGGCCCUAGACCCUUUCUAAUAGUUUGACUGCUGUGUUGGCCCUUGGCUCAUCUCAGACCACACCAGGCUUCCCACUACUAAAAUUCUGGAACAGAUAGAUCUAAGCUGCCUUGGGGGGAAGAUUCCAUCCCAACAGGCAGGAAAGGUAGCCCAGUUUAGAGCUAUGUUAUUCUCUCAGGUUUCAUCAGGCCUGAGAUGUCACAGGACAUCAACUGUGGCAUUGCUCCUGCAAAUGGAGACAGGCUCUGCCUAGAGGUUAGUAGGAGCCUCAGCAGGCAGGACUCAUCUGGUCAGGGAUGUUAGGGAGAAAGCACCCAGGCUCAAGGCAGCACUGUGAGUGUGUACAAAAGGGAACUUGUAAAUCACUAGUCAGCAAAUGGAAACUCUGCAUAGGGUUUUCCCAAGGAUAUAAAGGGAACUGGGGUACCACUGGUGGCCAGGGACUCUUGGUCUUCUCAGGAAACCUGGCAAGCCCAUCUUCUGGUCUGGCUCCUGAGUGAGAGACCUGACUCAGUUCAUAGGAAUGGAUUGGGGCCUCUCUGCAGUGUCUUCCCACUGUGUGCCAGCCUUAACCUGAGGGGUAGCACUGUUUCUGCAGUCUGCUGUGAAAUAAUAAGCACUCUGUCCCUUCUCCCAUCACAAAGCUUAGAGAUGGGCCUAGACAGUGCUUAAUCCCCAGCUCUUUAUCCAGGCCACAAGGGUCUUUAAGAGGUGACAUGAGUCCCCUCUAAGCACUUCUCCUCCAGACAUGCUCAGCAGAAGUCAGUUAACUACAGCUGUUCUCCCCCAGACCCCACCCCCACCCACUAACCAAAAAGUCUCUGGGAGGGCCGGAGCCUAGCAGAGCCUGGCCUCAGGCUGGCUCCAUAACUGUAAGAACACUGAGCAAUAAGCGCUACUUGCUGUCUUAUAGUCUAUAAUCCUAGCACUCUGAAAUCUAAGAUAGGAGGAUUCAGAGUUUGGGACUAACCUGAGCUGUCGGCUAACCCAAGGAAAAAUAUUAGUUACUGAUACAAAUAUGGGAGAGAGUUGAUUUCGAUUUUGGAUCACUUAGCAGGUUUCAUCUGCAUCUUCAAAGUAUGAUGCCCAACACGAGGUGACUAAUGCACAAGCUGUUCCUGUCAUUCAGAGUUUUAAGGGGUGUUGGCCAAAGAGAGGAGGUUUUGAUCUUGGGCCCAGUGGAGGAUGCAUAAGGAAAACAGCUGGUAGCAAAGUUUGGUCCAGAUACAAAAGGACGUUUUCUCUUACUUCUAGCUUGUGUGCUUGGUCAGAGUUCCCACAAGGAAUUUCCCACAAGUAUAUGCCUAUACUUGGAAGGUUCGGUCAAUUUUGACUAUGUCUCAGGAAGUCCUUCCUUGAUCAUUCUCAGAUAUCACCUCUGGGAUGAUGAGGCUCCUAGGUGGGUCAUGAUCACUCCAGCACUGAAGUGUGUCACACAAUCCCUUCCAUAAAUGCAAGCAGCUACAUGGACAGGUAGGAACACAGGGGGUGGCUACCAGUCCAAAGCCUCAAGUCCUCUGAACCAUUUACAAUGAGCCAGCCACUCAGUUCCUCUUAGAAGGCAUCAUGCACACAGAAGGCCUAUUCUUCAUGUAUAUGCAUGCAUGCGCACCGCACCUGCUCCUGGCGAGUGCAAGUGCAAGCUUUGGUAUUAGUAACAGGAGGCUGGAUACUUGGUCCACAACUUACCCAGUAACAGUGCUCUGUAUCUGAAGCACCUGGGACCUAAGGAGAAAAAUCUCUGAUCAAAAUGAGAGAUGUCCCCAAGCCUAGGAUGAGCUCAGUCUAGGAUGUGAGAGAGGCAUCUAGAUGCUGCUUCUCAGGGGCUGCCCCAACUGCAGGCAUGCCAUUGCCUCCUUGAAGAGCCUGGUACACACUAGUCUGUCAUCCCGUGGUGGUGCCCCUAAAGCCAGCAUGGGAAUGAUAGUCACAGGGUUAGACCUCCCAGACAGACAAAGGAUACAAGUGAGAGUGAGCAAGUGUGGGGCAGGGCAAGGGAAGAGAGGGGGAGCUGCUUUGGGGGAAGAGCAGGCAUUUGCAGGGGCUGAUAAGGAGGUUCCCUCAGACCUUUCUACGCACUCAUUAGAGGAAGUGCUUUGCUAAGAUGAUAUUUCUAUUUUCCCUGUUAGCAGCGAAUGGAAUUUGCACCAUCCAGGUCAGAUGGAAAAUAGAAGCUGGGAAAAUUUGACACUCUCAUUGAUUUGCUCUCCUCGUGAGAGAGGAGUAUGGUUCCGAGAUUGCAAUUAGGAGCAGCCUGCUAAGGGGUUCCUCUCCUGAGCUCAGGUGCAGCAAGAUCAUGGGUUACGAGCCUGCUCCCUGGCUGCGGAGGAGGAAGAGGCAGCUUCAUUCAUGCUUCUGAGCUGAAGCUAAACCUGCCCAGGUUCCCAAAGACCACCUGGCACUUUACUCUCAUUUUUGGUCAGGCCUUUGAGCAGAUGGCAAUUUUUCCAGUGUUUUUAAAAGUAUUAACUUCCUUUCAAACAUUCUUUAACCUUUAAUGUUUUGUAACUUGAUGAAAAGGUCACUUUGUUCUGAGGAUGCAGCUGUUCCUUAAUUAUUCAGCUAUAGGUGAAUUCCACCCAAAUCCUCAACUCUUCUCUUUUCUGUUUCUUUUUCUUUUUCGGAGGGGUAGGUGGUGGUGGUUGCUGAGGAUGAACAGAGGGCCUUGUACAGGCAAGGCAGAUGCUCUACAGCUGAGCCACAGGAGGCCUAUGAUUUAAAAAUAAAAAACAAAACAAACAAACAAACAAACAAACAAAACACCAGCUAGAUGUCCUGUGGUUGUAAUCUCAGAAUUCUGUAGUAAGAAGAUUUUGAGUGGUCUAGGCUGCAUACUACACAGAUCCUGUCUCUAAAAAUGGAAUGCAGUUUUCAAGGACCACUUCUAAGGAGUAUCAGUAGCUGUCACUGGAGAAGACCCGGCCCCAACAGGCUUACCAACCACUCCAAGAAAACCAGAAUGAACACUGGGUGGGGGGAAAGUCAACCUCAGACAGCUCCCAUACCCACCACUAUCCAUUGGUUUAAAAAUUAAUCUCUGUAAUUUGCAUAAAGUAAAACUCACUUUUGACAUAUA